rnacentral:rRNA from 1 species
UCUUGGGCAAUGGGCGCAAGCCUGACCCAGCAACGCCGCGUGGAGGAUGAAGCCCCUCGGGAUGUAAACUCCGAAAGAAGGGGACGAAUAAGCAUGGGCUAAUACCCCGUGCGAUGACGGUACCCUUUGUAAGCCCCGGCUAACUACGUGCCAGCAGCCGCGGUAAUACGUAGGGGGCAAGCGUUGUUCGGAUUUACUGGGCGUAAAGCGCGCGUAGGCGGCACUGCAAGUCACUUGUGAAAUCUCCGGGCUUAACUCGGUAGGGGCCAAGUGAUACUGCAGAGCUAGAGUGCGGAAGAGGCAGCUGGAAUUCUCGGUGUAGCGGUGAAAUGCGUAGAUAUCGAGAGGAACACCGAUGGCGAAGGCGGGCUGCUGGGCCGACACUGACGCUGAGGCGCGAA